GUCAUACUAAACUCCAAAACAUAAAUGAACUAAAAUUUAAAAAAAAACAUGCAAGACUAACAAAGAACAGGGAUCCUGGAGGCAUGGGACAGGCGCAAAAUGCGGUUGGUUAAAUAGUUUUGUAAAAUCUCGACCCCUAUUACAUUGUACCUCUACCUAUAUAACCAAUGAAGAAUAAAGGAAAAAUGAGGGGGAGGACAGGGGUAAGGGAGACAGGGAGAAAGGGGGUAGGAGAAAGGAGAAAGGGGGUGGGAGAAAGGAUAAAGGGGUAGGAGAAAGGAGAAAAAGUUGGAGAAAGGAGAAAAAAUAAAAUAUCUCUCCUUUUAAAAUUUUUUUCUAAUAUUUCAAGAAAAAAUAUCUCAAAAGGAGAUGUUUUAUUCUAAUGGGAGAAAGGAGAACGGGGGUAGGAGAAAGGAGAAGAGGGGUGGGAGAAGGGAGAAGGGUACCCCCUGUCCUCCCCCUCAAAAAUA
rnacentral:lncRNA from 1 species